rnacentral:tRNA from 1 species
GGGCUGUGGCGCAGCUUGGUAGCGCGCUUCGUUCGGGACGAAGAGGCCGCGAGUUCAAAUCUCGCCAGCCCGAC